GCCAACCCCUGGUCUAGGGGUAUGAUUUUCGCUUAGUGUGUGAGAGGUCACAUGUUCAAAUCCUGGACGAGCA